CCCACUCCAAAUAAAACCAUGGGUACCUAAUCCAGUGAAGAAGUCAGUGCAAAGAUUGAUCACCCUCUAUGGGAUUCAGGUGUGUUUUUACAUGAAAGCUUAUCUGACCUGAAUUGCAGCUGUUUCUCCACUGGGUUGUCCUGUUGGUCAUAAAAGCCUUUUGGUCUAAAAGCCUUUGGUCCUGUGGCAUUUCUGCCACACUGCCAGAAUCCCCCAGAGUCCCUGGGGCACCUGUGAUGAGGCAACUGAAUUACUUACAGAACUUGCUCUGAAUUGCCCUGUGGCAUUUUCGCAAAGCCAGGAUCAUAUCUGAGGGACUUUGGGGAAUUUUUAGCAUCAUCUUUCAUAGAGGAAGACAUCCACAGUUAGGGUGAAAAGCACAGUUCUUGAGCUUUUGGUGACAUUGGAGGUGAAGAUGAUGUGGGUGCCUUUAUGUCACAGUGACUAUACUCUGGGUGAAAAUCCCAUGCAAAGAUUUUAAUCUUCACUGACAUUUUAAUUUUAAAUAUGAAAUUAUAUAAAGGAGAACAAAAUUCUAUUCUUUGGACUGAGGAAAAAAUAUUGGUCUACAUGUACAUAGACCUGAGGAGAGAAAUUGGCUCUGAUGUGCCAUCCUGCCUGGCUGAGUAGAAAGAGAAAGCAGCCAUAUGACUCAUAAUUUCACUCAUCUGCUGCUAACCAGAUUUCCCUCUAACAUCACAGCGCAGAACAGCCUGUUAAAUGGAAGGGAAAUCCCUCCUUUGGCAUGAAUACCCUUUGCCAUUUAGGUCCUUUAUUUCAGUACCUUUCCCUGUAGGUUAGUCUCUCUAUAGGGCACAAAAGAAUGUUUUAAAGCUAUCAGCAACCUGAGGAGCCAUAUAGGGUUUGCUUCCAUGUGCCAGGGGACUUUUCCAGCCUCGAAUCUCUCAUGACACUGCUGCUAUGAGAGAAGGUAAAGCAGCACUAACUCUGCCGUGGUGGGACACAGAAAAAGUCACCAGUGGGCAUCUGUCCCUCUCCCUUGGACAGCCCAGCUUUGGAUUGCCUGAAUGUCUCACAGUGCUGCCUGUGCAAAGCUGAGGGGAGUGAAAAGCAGCAACUUAUUUUUGCCGACAAGUAGAUGCAUAAUCCCUGAAUGCACUAGGAAAGCUAUCCAUUGAGGAAGAAAGCAACAUGUUUGCAGACUCCACACCCCAUUAUCAGGUGAUUUGUUAAAGCUGUCACUGCAUACAAAUCUGCUGCCGUCUUCCUCCAGAAUGGGGAGAUUUGAAAUAGUUUGCUGUAGACUUUAUUCUGUCUGAAUAGGGAAUUUUUUUUUUCCCCUAAAAUAUACUAAAAGCCAAAAUACAGGGAAGUUGAAUUGUGGUAGAAAAGAGCCCUAAGACUCCAUUUAUUUGCUUCCCUAAAUAAUUACCUAUCUCAUUUUUAGUAGCAUGACUCUAUUAUUGAUUAGACUGUAAUAUACAACCCUUACCUUAAUGAAGAAAAUGCAGAUCAUUUGUCAUUACUUCUGUUAAUGCUUGCAGCUGCUAGAAUUUGGAUUUUACAAUUCUGUACACAGAAAAAUAACUAUAUUCAUCUAUCUAUGCUGCAUCAGUAGCCUAAACAAGAUUGGAAAUAAUUUACAUAUACAUUCCUUUUCAGCUAAUCACCUUAAAACAACUCACUAAUCAUAAGUUAAUCUUCACAAGUUUCUGGCAAGUGGGGGAAAGACUUAUCCUGAUUUCACCCAUGGUAUAACUGAGGAAUAUAGAAGAUGUGGUGCUUGCUAAGUCCACAAAGAAAGUCUUGUGGAAAUGGGGAUGGAAUUCAAAUGAUUGGGCUUUCUGUCCACUUUGUUAAACAUAAAA
rnacentral:lncRNA from 1 species